AUUACUUAAUAAUUAAACAUUUAUGGCUAUAAGAUGAGUAUGCGUUCUAUUAGCUAGAUGGUAAGGUAACGGCUUACCAUGGCUACGAUAGAUAGGGGUCCUGAGAGGGAGAUCCCCCACACUGGUACUGAGACACGGACCAGACUCCUACGGGAGGCAGCAGUGAGGAAUAUUGGACAAUGGGAGCAAUCCUGAUCCAGCCAUGCCGCGUGCAGGAAGACUGCCCUAUGGGUUGUAAACUGCUUUUAUACAGGAAGAAAAAGGUGUACGUGUACACUGUUGACGGUACUGUAAGAAUAAGGAUCGGCUAACUCCGUGCCAGCAGCCGCGGUAAUACGGAGGAUCCAAGCGUUAUCCGGAAUCAUUGGGUUUAAAGGGUCCGUAGGCGGGAUAAUAAGUCAGUGGUGAAAGUCUGCAGCUCAACUGUAGAAUUGCCAUUGAUACUGUUGUUCUUGAGUUAUUGUGAAGUGGUUAGAAUGAGUAGUGUAGCGGUGAAAUGCAUAGAUAUUACUCAGAAUACCGAUUGCGAAGGCAGAUCACUAACAAUACACUGACGCUGAUGGACGAAAGCGUAGGUAGCGAACAGGAUUAGAUACCCUGGUAGUCUACGCCGUAAACGAUGGUUACUAGCUGUUCGGGUUA
rnacentral:rRNA from 1 species